rnacentral:rRNA from 1 species
UACGUAGGGGGCAAGCGUUGUCCGGAUUUAUUGGGCGUAAAGAGCGUGUAGGCGGCCAAACAGGUCCGUUGUGAAAACUGGAGGCUCAACCUCCAGACGUCGACGGAAACCGUGUGGCUAGAGUCCGGAAGAGGAGAGUGGAAUUCCUGGUGUAGCGGUGAAAUGCGCAGAUAUCAGGAGGAACACCGGUGGCGAAGGCGGAUCUCUGGCCGGAUACUGACGCUGAGGAGCGAAAGCGUGGGGAGCGAACAGG